rnacentral:rRNA from 1 species
UACGAGAGGCCCAAACGUUAUUCGGAAUUACUGGGCUUAAAGAGUUCGUAGGCGGCGCAGAAAGUAGGGUGUGAAAGCCCUCGGCUUAACCGAGGAAUUGCGCUCUAAACUACUGUGCUUGAGGAACCUAGAGGUGAGCAGAACUGAUGGUGGAGCGGUGAAAUUCGUAGAUAUCGAGAGGAACACCGGUGGCGAAGGCGGCCAACUGGACGAAUACUGACGCUGAGACUCGAAAGCGUGGGGAGCAAACAGG